CAGGUAAAUGGAUGGAGCUAGAAUAUAUCAUUGUCAGUGAGGUAACCCAGACCCGGGAAGACACACAUGUUCUUCUCUCUGCCAGAAUGCUUUUCCUGGUUCCACACAUGGGCCGACUCACCCUUCUGUGGCAGAAAGACAAACAGUGCCAGCUAUGGACAUGGAAAGGGAAAGAAACUACUGCCUCCUUGGAAGUCUUGUUGAAGUUUCAUUGAUGAGCUGAAAAAUCAAGAAUUCCAACACAGACUCCAAGGAUCUGGUUUUGCCAAAAAGGGGUUUCUAAAAGGCCAAGGGAAGCCCAAGGUUGCUGAAAGCAAUGGUGUGGAGCUGUGCCUCUGUCUUUGACACUUCAGUUUUUACCUGGUAUCUGCAUCAUGAAACAUCCCUAAUAACUCUGUCUUAAACUGAAACAGCCUGGGGCUGGAGCAAUGACUUUAAUGAGGCAGAGUGCUUGCUUCUCUGACAGAGAACUGGAGUUCCUUCCAGUACCCAUGUAGAGCAACUGGCAACCACCUGUAAUUCCAGCUCUAUGGGAUCUUAUGCCUCUUUCUGGAUCCAGCACAUAAACAGAUAAGCAUAAAUAAAAAUAAAUCCUAAAAAAAAAAAAACAACACUGCAACAUACAAAUGUUCCACAGUUUUCUACCCACUUACAGAGUUUAAAAAGCUUUGAGUAUAUAUAAAGAACUAAAGAAGCUGAAAAGCAGCAAACCAAGUAAUCCACUUAAAAAAUGGGGAACAGAGCUAAACAGAGAAUUCUCUGUAGAGGAAUACCGAAUGGCAGAGAAGCACUUAAAGAAAUGCUCAACCUCACUAGCCAUUAGGGAAAUGCAAAUCAAAACAACCCUGAGAUUUCACCUUACACCCAUGAGAAUGGCCAAGAUCAAAAACUCA